GCCCUAUAAUACCAAUAUAAGGUGAAGCCUGCUCAGUGGCUGCUAAUAAAUAAUUAAUAACAACAGUUAAAUAGCCGCGGUAACUCUGACCGUGAUAAAGUAGCAUAAUCAUUUGUCAUCUAAUUAAUGACUGGAAUGAACGGUUAAACGAAUUUCUAGCUGUCUCUAAGAAAAAUCUAGUGAAAUUGAAAUAACAGUGAAGAUGCUGUUUUCUAAUUGUAAGACGAAAAGACCCUAUUGAGCUUUACUGAAAGCCUAUACCUUUAUAUACUAAUAAAAACUUAUACCAAAAGACCUGUAGGUAAAUCAGUUUGGUUGGGGCGACCACCUCUAAAAAAGUAUCAGAGGAAUUCUAAGGGUUCAUAUUUUAAUAUAAAAUUGCCUUACUGAAGAUUUACAAAUCAACCAGUUAUUUAAAGUAGGAUAUAAUGACCCGUUAAUUUCCCGGUAAAAAAUUAACGAAUAUGAAAAAAGUUACCGUAGGGAUAACAGGGUAAUAUUCUCGAAGAGUUCAUAUCGAUGAGAAUGUUUGCCACCUCGAUGUUGAAUUGUGGUAUCCUAAGGGUGUAGCAGCUCUUGAGGGUUGGUCUGUUCGACCAUUAAAAC
rnacentral:rRNA from 1 species